GAUCAUGGCUCAGGAUGAACGCUGGCGGCGUGCUUAACACAUUCAAGUCGAACGGAGUUCAAUUGGGAGCUUGCUCCCGGCUGAACUUAGUGGCGGACGGGUGAGUAAUGCAUGAGCAACCUGCCUUCAGGAGGGGGAUAACAUCGGGAAACCGGUGCUAAUACCGCAUAGAGCAUUUUGCAGGCAUCUGCGAGAUGGGAAAGGAGCAAUCCGCCUGGAGAUGGGCU
rnacentral:rRNA from 1 species